rnacentral:rRNA from 1 species
CGGGAGCUUGCUCCUGGUGGCGAGUGGCGAACGGGUGAGUAACGCGUCGGAACGUACCGAGUAAUGGGGGAUAACGUAGCGAAAGCUGUGCUAAUACCGCAUACGCCCUGAGGGGGAAAGUGGGGGAUCGCAAGACCUCACGUUAUUCGAGCGGCCGACGUCUGAUUAGCUUGUUGGUGGGGUAAUGGCCUACCAAGGCGACGAUCAGUAGCGGGUCUGAGAGGAUGAUCCGCCACACUGGAACUGAGACACGGUCCAGACCCUACGGGAGGCAGCAGUGGGGAAUUUUGGACAAUGGGGGCAACCCUGAUCCAGCCAUUCCGCGUGAGUGAAGAAGGCCUUCGGGUUGUAAAGCUCUUCCAGUCGGAACGAAACGGUAUUCCUUAAUACGGGAUGCUAAUGACGGUACCGGCAGAAGAAGCACCGGCUAACUACGUGCCAGCAGCCGCGGUAAUACGUAGGGUGCGAGCGUUAAUCGGAAUUACUGGGCGUAAAGCGUGCGCAGGCGGAUUGUUAAGCAAGAUGUGAAAUCCCCGGGCUUAACCUGGGAAUGGCAUUUUGAACUGGCAGUCUAGAGUGUGUCAGAGGGGGGUGGAAUUCCACGUGUAGCAGUGAAACGCGUAGAUAUGUGGAGGAACACCAAUGGCGAAGGCAGCCCCCUGGGAUAACACUGACGCUCAUGUACGAAAGCGUGGGUAGCAAACAGGAUUAGAUACCCUGGUAGUCCACGCCCUAAACGAUGUCAACUGGUUGUUGGGGGAGUGAAAUCCCUUAGUAACGAAGCUAACGCGUGAAGUUGACCGCCUGGGGAGUACGGUCGCAAGAUUAAACUCAAAGGAAUUGACGGGGACCCGCACAAGCGGUGGAUGAUGUGGAUUAAUUCGAUGCAACGCGAAAAACCUUACCUACCCUUGACAUGUCCGGAAUCCUGCAGAGAUGCGGGAGUGCCCGAAAGGGAAUCGGAACACAGGUGCUGCAUGGCUGUCGUCAGCUCGUGUCGUGAGAUGUUGGGUUAAGUCCCGCAACGAGCGCAACCCUUAUCAUUAGUUGCUACGCAAGGGCACUCUAAUGAGACUGCCGGUGACAAACCGGAGGAAGGUGGGGAUGACGUCAAGUCCUCAUGGCCCUUAUGGGUAGGGCUUCACACGUCAUACAAUGGUCGGUACAGAGGGUUGCCAAGCCGCGAGGUGGAGCCAAUCCCAGAAAGCCGAUCGUAGUCCGGAUUGUUCUCUGCAACUCGAGAGCAUGAAGUCGGAUUCGCUAGUAAUCGCGGAUCAGCAUGUCGCGGUGAAUACGUUCCCGGGUCUUGUACACACCGCCCGUCACACCAUGGGAGUGGAAUCUGCCAGAAGUAGGUAGCCUAACCGCAAGGGGGGCGCUUACCACGGUGGGUUUCAUGACUGGGGUGAAGUCGUAACAAGGUA